CAAAAACGACUCUCGGCAACGGAUAUCUCGGCUCUCGCAUCGAUGAAGAACGUAGCGAAAUGCGAUACUUGGUGUGAAUUGCAGAAUCCCGUGAACCAUCGAGUCUUUGAACGCAAGUUGCGCCCAAAGCCAUUAGGCUGAGGGCACGUCUGCCUGGGCGUCACGC
rnacentral:rRNA from 1 species